UGCAGUCGAGCGGACAGAAGGGAGCUUGCUCCCGGAUGUUAGCGGCGGACGGGUGAGUAACACGUGGGUAACCUGCCUGUAAGACUGGGAUAACUCCGGGAAACCGGAGCUAAUACCGGAUAGUUCCUUGAACCGCAUGGUUCAAGGAUGAAAGACGGUUUCGGCUGUCACUUACAGAUGGACCCGCGGCGCAUUAGCUAGUUGGUGAGGUAACGGCUCACCAAGGCGACGAUGCGUAGCCGACCUGAGAGGGUGAUCGGCCACACUGGGACUGAGACACGGCCCAGACUCCUACGGGAGGCAGCAGUAGGGAAUCUUCCGCAAUGGACGAAAGUCUGACGGAGCAACGCCGCGUGAGUGAUGAAGGUUUUCGGAUCGUAAAGCUCUGUUGUUAGGGAAGAACAAGUGCAAGAGUAACUGCUUGCACCUUGACGGUACCUAACCAGAAAGCCACGGCUAACUACGUGCCAGCAGCCGCGGUAAUACGUAGGUGGCAAGCGUUGUCCGGAAUUAUUGGGCGUAAAGGGCUCGCAGGCGGUUUCUUAAGUCUGAUGUGAAAGCCCCCGGCUCAACCGGGGAGGGUCAUUGGAAACUGGGAAACUUGAGUGCAGAAGAGGAGAGUGGAAUUCCACGUGUAGCGGUGAAAUGCGUAGAGAUGUGGAGGAACACCAGUGGCGAAGGCGACUCUCUGGUCUGUAACUGACGCUGAGGAGCGAAAGCGUGGGGAGCGAACAGGAUUAGAUACCCUGGUAGUCCACGCCGUAAACGAUGAGUGCUAAGUGUUAGGGGGUUUCCGCCCCUUAGUGCUGCAGCUAACGCAUUAAGCACUCCGCCUGGGGAGUACGGUCGCAAGACUGAAACUCAAAGGAAUUGACGGGGGCCCGCACAAGCGGUGGAGCAUGUGGUUAAUUCGAAGCAACGCGAAGACCUUACCAGGUCUUGAC
rnacentral:rRNA from 1 species